AGAGUUUGAUCCUGGCUCAGAACGAACGCUGGCGGCAUGCCUAACACAUGCAAGUCGAACGUGAUCCGGGGCUUGCUCCGGUGAAAGUGGCGGACGGGUGAGUAACGCGUGGGAACCUGCCCAGUGGUCGGGGAUAACUGCGGGAAACUGCAGCUAAUACCCGGUAAGCCCUAUGGGGGAAAGAUUUAUCGCCAUUGGAGGGGCCCGCGUCGGAUUAGGUAGUUGGUGGGGUAAAGGCCUACCAAGCCUACGAUCCGUAGCUGGUCUGAGAGGAUGAUCAGCCACACUGGGACUGAGAUACGGCCCAGACUCCUACGGGAGGCAGCAGUGGGGAAUAUUGGACAAUGGGCGCAAGCCUGAUCCAGCAAUGCCGCGUGAGUGAAGAAGGCCUUAGGGUUGUAAAGCUCUUUCGGCGGGGACGAUGAUGACGGUACCCGCAGAAGAAGCCCCGGCUAACUCCGUGCCAGCAGCCGCGGUAAUACGGAGGGGGCUAGCGUUGUUCGGAAUUACUGGGCGUAAAGGGCGCGUAGGCGGCGCGAUAAGUUGGGCGUGAAAGGCCCGGGCUCAACCCGGGGACUGCGCUUGAUACUGUCGCGCUGUGAGUCCGGGAGAGGAUGGCGGAAUUCCCAGUGUAGAGGUGAAAUUCGUAGAUAUUGGGAAGAACACCGGUGGCGAAGGCGGCCAUCUGGACCGGCACUACGCUGAGGCGCGAAAGCGUGGGGAGCAAACAGGAUUAGAUACCCUAGUAGUCC
rnacentral:rRNA from 1 species